UAAUACAUAUGCAUAAAGAAAACAAAAAAGUAUAUAUACAUACUCUUAAUAUAAUAAUAGCGAUACACGCACGAAUCAUCUCUGAACUAACUAAAGUAUCUGUACGUAACUGUAAGCCGCUAAGCUUAAGUACAGCGACAUACGAGUAUGUAUAACAAGCUCGACAACCUUCCGUUUAAUGCGAUCUGUGUAAAUAGUUUCGUAAACUAAUUUAAGCUCGCUGAUAGACACACCGUACAACUGGGAUUUUUCUAUGCGCGCGCGCUAUCUCUCAACUUUUUUACUGUGUUUUGCGCUCUUUUUAAGGUUUGAUAAUGCUCUGUCGAAUCGUCGUUCGCGAAUCGAGAGGCGAAGAUAUCGUUGAAACGCGUCUUUUUCACAUUGUUUGUCGACGAUUCUUCCAGUGAAUCAUCGUGUAUGGGGUAUUUCACUUAAUUUCUAUACUUGAGAUGAUUCCAAUUGCUAUUAACGACGGCGUGAGAAAAUAAUCAUAAUGAUAGUUGGUUCUAUACGAAGAAGAUUGUACAAGGAUAUAUUAUAUAUAUUGUAUAAUAUACGGGAAUACAUUUUCGCCUUCGUUAAUUUGAUCGAAUAAGAGAAUAUAUUUUGACGAAGGAAAUACUGAGUUUAAUUAGAAAAUGAAAUUAUUUAAUUAUUAAUUUUACAGGCUGAAAGUACAAGAAAGUAAGAAUGUUAGAAGUAUUUGUCUUUUGAGAAAUUGAAUGUUGCCACGUGCUCGAAGAAUGAAACUAAUAAAUUUACAGAAAUCCAGCCGAUAUAUUUUUACUUCUCGCAUAUAAAAUAAAGAAAGAAAGUAGCAACUGAAGCAGAAAUUAUCCUUGCAAAAUUACAAUCAUAAAAUAAAGUAACUCGUGUCAGAAGUAUGUUUUUUGCAUCGUCAGUAGCAAACGAAUUAACGCGUUCAAUGCGACGCAACAAAAGCGAAAUGGGUCCCUGGUGGCGGAAAUCAAUUUUUCUAUAACACAUGUCCACUUACCCGGACGUCUUCAUCCGCAAGACGAUGGAAAGUUCCGACGACACGCACGUUCAUGUCUUCCGCAUUGAAUGUGUUAGAUGAAAUACCCUGUAUACGAGUCCAUUGCAUUUGAAUCGAUCCUCGAUCCCUACGAUCGAUCAUGUACGAAUUACGCUUACUUGCAGUUCGUUGCUUUCCUGCGCUGAUUUCGCCAAUUAGUUACACAAACAAAGGGCAAUUUUGAUAUUUUCAGUCGACAGUUGCGACAAUUGCUGUCACUACGCCAAACUAUUUUAUAAUCGUGAACAUUGAACAUUUUUAAGGUUUCUAAACGAUAUUACGCUUACGAUUGAUUGAUUGCUUUGCUGUGAUGCUUUGUGGAAGCUUGUUUGUUCCUCACACAGAAUGUUUCAUCGCUAGAAGGUUUCUGCCUUCUACGAAGCGUUUCUAUUUUUUAUUAUGUAUGUUAUUAUUGUGCGUCCAAAAUUAAUUAAUCGUUCGUGAUCAUGUUUCUUAAUACGAGUGCAGAUAAUGUAACAUGAUCGUUUUUGAAUAUGCUAGAUGUUAGACAAAAAUUCUAUGCUUUUAAUUUUAUGUUCUUUGUACAUAAAUCGUGAUCUUGAAAAUUGAGAUAAUUCCCACAACCGAAGUGCACUUUCUUUUUUGACCAUUUUGAUUCACUGAUUCUUCGGUUAUUCGUUUGUUCUAACAUUGGUUUUGAAUCUUAAAUCUCUUUUAAAGCAUUUCUAAUAUUACUUACAUACUUUUACUAAUAUUACUUACAAAGUUUGAACAACUUUAUCGGCAUUUUUAUUCAGCUACAACACAGAAACAAUGCAGUUAAACAUGCAUAUUAUUGAAUUAUAUCGUAAUCAGAAUACAUUAUUUUAAAAAAUCGUAUAUCGAUGCUGUAGAUAAGCUGGAAAACGAUGCUAUAGAAAUAUCAAUUAAAAGCACAGAAUUUUUGUCUAAGAGUUGAUACUUCAUAAGAGAAAAUAAUAUAGAAGAAAAAUUUACGUCUUGUUAUCUGUACAGCCUUGCGUGGUUAAUUGAUUUUGGACAGAAAAUGUCGAUUUUUAACCCUUAACGACAGAUGCUCGUAUUUUUGCUAUUAUCACAAAUAUGUUUUCUCGCAGAUUAAUGAUCCUAUUUUUAAAAUCACCAUGUUUUAAAAGCUUUGAAUAAUUAUUUAUUUAUUUGUAAAAAUCUUUUACAAUUAAAGUAUAUAAAUACUUGCAAGUAUUUAAAUAAAUACAGCUUCUGAAAUUCUCCACCAAUUUGUGAUAAUGAAAUAAACACUCAGAUUCUCCUCGAGCAUGUGUUUGUAAUUAAGGGUUAAUCAUCUGCUGUAUCUCACUAACCAAGAUUAAUAUCGUUAUGCUCUGCGAGUUCAUUUAUUUCGAAUCUCUGCUAUAUUAAGCGAUAUCUAACACCACGAUACUUAUACAAAAGCUAUUAUAAUAUUUCGUUACUGUUACGUAACAUUUUCAUCCUUCGUGUUUUCGUUUUAGUUAUAUUAAUAGCGCCGUUGAUCCGGACUAGAAGCUAAGAAGCUACGUUUAAUUUACGGGUUAUCGUAAUCUCUAGGAAUAACUGCGUUAACGUUCUUUCAGAUAGUACGAAAAAAAGAAUAAGAAAAAAAAACCAAAAAAAAAGAUGGAUUUAGCGUAACACAUUGCGACAAAUAUAACGGAGCCUACAUACGGAAUAUCUUGGACACUGUUGAGCUACUUCCAACAGACUAUAAUUAAGCAAACGUGAAAGCAAUAAGAAUAUCGUGUCGUAACAUUUCUAACUGUGACUAUCAUCGGCUAUCUUGAUUUUUUAGUUUUCGAAACGUUAAAUACAGUGAAACCCUCGUAUUAUAAAACUGUACAUAGCAACGAGCACAAUAUAUGCACAUACGAUUGAAUUUAAUUUAUUAAUCAGUCGCAGUCGUGCAUAAAAUAAUCGAUAACGAGACAAAUCAACCGAAAUAUAUUAAUAAUAAUUAUACGAGCCUCUCACAAGCCAGACUAAUGAAACAAUUCUACUUUUUCACGAUUUCAUAAUUUUAUUACAUACGUAUACGAUUAAUAUUCAAUUGUCAAGAGAUAAAUAGAUUUCAGUCAUGUUCUUAAAAAUAUAAACUUGCAUAAAAAGUAACAAUCUAAUAAUAACGAUAAAGCCAAUGCGACAUAACGCUAUUAAUAAUGUAUUGUUAAAAGAAUCAUCUGCUUUGGACGAUCCUUAAACGCUAUUCGGUGUUCCGCAAUGGGUUUCUCUAAUAUUAUGAAUCCUUGAUGAUGGAAUUUAGGAAUUUUCUACCUAAUAUCAUGAGAUCUUGGUGAAACACGAAUACGGGAAUUUUACUGUAUUUGCGUGCAGAAGAAGAAAUGCUUUUUCUUUCUUUAACGUAUCGUCCAAGAUACUCCAAGAUCUUAAUCAUUGUACUCUAGUUGCCCUAAAAAGUCGACGACGAUAGGAAAUCGGGCGUAAAACACGUUCGCCAUGCAAAACGUUCAAAAAACUCCAUUUCUCAUGAGAUUAUGUGAUCUUCUAGCUUCUAAAAAAAAGUCUGUUAUAUUUUAUGUAUAUACACAUUCGCCUCGGGUCUCUGUCGGGUGAUCAUUCUCCGUGUCUUUUAAGAAAAUGCGAUGGACAAACAUGGCACACUCAACGAACUCGUGAGAGAUCUGGCUACGAUUGCACGCGAAUUUUGUUUAACUUCGUUCGUUAAAAUGGGACUUCUAUAAUGAACAAGUAUGAGUCCCCUCGAAGAUCGAUGCUUAAACGAAUCACGACCAAUUGCAAGUUGAAAAUCUUUCAGCUGAGAGAGUGUGAGAGAGAAAAAGAGAAUGAGAGAAAGAGAUAGAUAAACGACGAGAGGUGAACUUUUCAAAUUUACCUGAGAUAUACACAUAUACAUAUAUCUAUAUAUGUAUGUAUAAUUUAUUAUCGCUAGGAAGUAUCCAAACGCUUUGAUUAAUCUAUAAUAACGGUUCAUGACUGCUGUUGCAUAAUAUAAUAGUAAUACGAUUAAUGAUUGAUUACCGGCUAAAAGCGAUAUUUAUAUCUUUUAUUAUAUUUAUUUUCCUACGCAGUCAGACAAUUUUGAUUAUUCGUUAAAAAAAUUUACCAUUAACGUAUUGAAAUUAUUCGUCGACAUACACCUCGGUUUUAAUUAUCAUUGCUCGAAUUAAUCACGAUAGUCUUUCUAUGUGUAUAUAUUUCAUCUAUAUUCUAUAUAUAUAUAUAUAUUGGAAAGUAGAAGCUCUUUAAUGAUUAUAAAAACUCUAAAAAUACAGAACUCUCUAUAUAACGAAACUGUUCCAUAACGAAUGACAAGUUCUUGUUCUCAUAUUAAUUUUGAACGGUUAAUUUUAUCACGUAAUGGUAAUAAUGAAAACAAACUUAUCUCUGCUCCUUUCAUUUAUAAUCUUGUAAUUAAAUUACAUUCUGAUGAAAGCAAACAAGUGUUCAGGAUACUUCUGAGCGAUGUUAACAUAUGCAUAUGUGUAAUGUAUAUACAUUAAUAUGCACAUAUAUGAAUAUGUUAAUAUAUAUGCAACAAUAUACAUAUAAAUAUGUGUGUAUAUAUACAUAUAUAUAUAUACAAGAAUAAUAUAUAUAUAUACGCUACUUCUUCGGUAUAAUAUUUAUUGUACGUUUACACACAAAGCCAUACGCACGUAUCGCAUGAAAGUUAGGUUCGUGCAGGUUACGAUUAUCGUGGAACCUUCUUAUCGCACAUUCAGCUCGAUAAUUACCUGGUAACAUAACGGGACUUCGCAUGCAUGAACGACAUGAUCAUUUUUCUUGUCGCAUCCGAGCUCGUCGUAACUUCGUGCGUGAAGUUUCGUGACAGUACUCAGAAGCCACUAGGGCCUUUGAUUCCUUUCCGAUUGUACGAUCAUGCACGAAAUAACGUGGACAUAACGAGACUGUGACGAUGUUACGAUAGCUAUCGAUUAUAAUUUCAAAAUCUCCGGAUAAGAUUAUUUUAAAAAUGGUAUCUCGACGAUUGACUUUUUAAACAAUUUUUCACAUUUCCCUGGAAUCGAUGUUUCUCGUUUCUCGUUUUCUAAGUAGAAGCAAAAAGUAAGGUUUUCCCAACUAAAAUGAGAAUUAAUUGAAUUACUUGAUACUUCGUUAACAACAAAGGGAAUGAAAUAUAUUUUAUUAACAUAACAAAGGUAAUUCAAAAUUGUCACAAGUCAAGAAGAUGCUACAAGCAUCGAUUUCGGAAAACUUUUUAACUUUCUUUUUAACUUCGUCUUUGUGCUUUUACUUAAUUCUGUAAAAAAGACGAAGAAAUAAGAAAGAAGGGAACGAUAGUUCGUAUUAUCGAAUAGUUUAGAUGAACAAUGACUGUUUACAUGCAAACACGAGGAAUUGAGAAAAUUUUAUAAAUAAAGCGAAGAGAUUAACUCACAGCGACAAUAUUAAUAUUGAAACAGAUUUCUCCACAGAAGUCUAGACUUCAGGUUGAUCUAAAAAUAUUGCAAUAUCGUUCACGUUAUUUCGCGCGAUCCUUAGUUCGAAAGCAAGUGUCAGAGGGAACUGUUUAUUUCAAAGAUGCGGGUGUUGAUAAAUCAAAAGGACUGUACGGUUUUAUGCAGAUCAUUACAGAUUGUCAUUCAUUCGAUAGUUUCGUUGAAAGCUCUAGCCAAAGAGGCGAGCGUUUGUCUCCUAAGGUACGUGAUAAUGAUUUUUGGAAAGACUGAAUUAUUUCUUAACUUUAUGAGAACGUGAACACGGAAUUACGACGAAACUUGAGGUUUGCACGGAAAUGUGUCGCAAUUAUUACGCAUGGAGGGCCUCAAGUACUGUAACCUUGUAUGUGAUUCUACAGUAAAGAAAAAAAAUCGUAAAUAACAGAAAAAAAAGGAACUCUACUGCUAUUGUAACUUUCAGAGUUUAAUAAACCGUUUUCACUAACAGAGGGGCAAUUCCAAUUACGACAACCUAUCUGUGAAAUAAAAUACGAUGAAAAUUACCUUUUCGCAGUUAUAACGUUUCCGCAAAUCGACUUUUCCACCAAUCACAUUUUUACCGAUAAUAGGUCAUUUUAAUUUCAAGGGAAAAUCUUCCCUGUACUUGUAUUACUACAUUCGUUGUUUCAAUUAAAAGUAUCUCUCAAUUUCAGCUUAUUACGAUGUAUCUACGGUGAAACUUUAUUAAGAGAUACUUGGCAACAGGUGUGCGGGUACACGUGUGCCAAGAUUGAGACGGGUGGAAAGAAGUUUCGGGCGGGAUCGGGCUGAUCUCGAUAUACCCAUAUCACUGAGGCUUCUGAAAGUUUUCAGAUCCCGAAACUCGAUUCGGACGUUGGCAAUAUAAACAGAAGAAACGGGGGAUCUGAUUUCAUAUUAGCUCGACAGAAGUCAAACGAGAUUGACCAGAGACACGGAUGAGAAAGGAAGGGAAACAAUACGAUUAGAACCGCGUUGUUCUUCUAAUCAGGAAAAGCACGGAUUCUUGUUCAUACCUGGUUGCAUGUGCAUAGCCGUCCGAACUCUGUCCGCCAACGCAUUUCCAUGCCUGUGUCAGCGAACAAGACAGAAAAUCUAUAGACCUGCAAUGCAAAUGACUGUAAUAAAAUCUUCUGGAAGCGAAUUGGAAGGGCACAGUCAACAGAACGCGAAUACCGUCGAGUUAAAUAUUAAAUGGUCACAAUUACACGAGAUACUAAUGACGGAGUAAAACUUUUGUAUUUUAAAAAUACAAAAAUGAGAAGCUUCAAAUCAUAGAUAAUUUAGUUUUAAUGGGAUAUCUCUUUUGAUAACUGUAGAGUACCAAAAAAUAUAAGUUACGGUCCUCGGUUAAUUCUCAGUUACAGUUACAAUUGAAUUCCAUUUAUGUGAACUUCGCCGCAGGUCAACAUAUAACAAAGUUAUAUAAUUGGAGUUUGCCAGUUCCCCUCGUUAUCUAUCAUUUUUCCUUCACAUAAUAGAAGCUUACGUUUAGAUAAGUGAAUCAGCAAAAGUUGAGUUAAUCGGGCAUUAAAUCGAUAUUCCGUUCCAAUAAGUAAGAGUCUUGCUGUAUAUUCAACCUGUUACUAAUGUUGGAGUUAAUCAGAAAUUAAUGCUGUAGAUAUCGAUAAUAAUUUCUCUUUUCUGUAUUUGAAUGAAUUUUUUAAAAUGUAUCUUUUUGAUAUGUAAGAGAUAUAUAUGUCUUUAUUCGUUAUAAUUAUUUAUAG
rnacentral:lncRNA from 1 species